rnacentral:rRNA from 1 species
ACUCUACGGGAGGCAGCAGUGGGGAAUAUUGCACAAUGGGCGAAAGCCUGAUGCAGCAACGCCGCGUGAGCGAUGAAGGUCUUCGGAUCGUAAAGCUCUGUCCUCAAGGAAGAUAAUGACGGUACUUGAGGAGGAAGCCCCGGCUAACUACGUGCCAGCAGCCGCGGUAAU